rnacentral:rRNA from 1 species
AGAGUUUGAUCAUGGCUCAGGGCGAACGCUGGCGGCGUGCUUGACACAUGCAAGUCGAACGGGGAAAGGAGCUUCGGCUCUGAUUACCAGUGGCGAACGGGUGAGUAACACGUGGAAACAUACCCAUUGCAGGGGGAUAACUACUUGAAAAGGUAGCUAAUACCGCAUAAAAUCUACGGAUAAAAGGUGCAAAUGCAUCGGCAGUGGAGUGGUCCGCGGACCAUCAGCUAGUUGGUAGGGUAAGGGCCUACCAAGGCGACGACGGAUAGCCGGCGUGAGAGCGUGGCCGGCCACAAGGACACUGAGAUACGGGUCCUACUUCUACGGGAGGCAGCAGUGCGGAAUUUUGGUCAAUGGAGGAAACUCUGAACCAGCGACGCCGCGUGUAUGAUGAAGGUCUUCGGAUUGUAAAAGACUGUGGUAAGGGAAAAGUAGCUCAUAGAGUGGAAAGCUAUGAGAAAGAGAUGGUACCUUACUAGAAAGCCCCGGCUAACUACGUGCCAGCAGCCGCGGUAAUACGUAGGGGGCAAGCGUUGCCCGGAAUCACUGGGCGUGAAGGGAGCGUAGGCGGCCUAGAAAGUCUACUGUGAAAAAUCGGAGCUCAACUCUGAUCUUGCGGUAGAAACUAAUAGGCUUGAGGACGGUAGAGGAAAACGGAACAGCUGGUGUAGGGGUAAAAUCCUUAGAUAUCAGCUGGAACGCCGGUGACGAAGGUGGUUUUCUGGGCCGGACCUGACGCUGAGGCUCGAAAGCCAGGGUAGCGAACGGGAUUAGAUACCCCGGUAGUCCUGGCCCUAAACGAUGUUCACUAGGUGUGGGGUACGUAAAGUAUUCCGUGCUAAAGCUAACGCAAUAA